UGGCACACAGAAUGUGAGGCUAGCACAC
rnacentral:piRNA from 1 species